UACGUAGGGGGCAAGCGUUAUCCGGAAUCAUUGGGCGUAAAGCGCACGUAGGCGGAUCGAUCAGUCAGGGGUGAAAUCCCAGAGCUCAACUCUGGAACUGCCUUUGAUACUGUCGGUCUAGAGUAUGGAAGAGGUGAGUGGAAUUCCGAGUGUAGAGGUGAAAUUCGUAGAUAUUCGGAGGAACACCAGUGGCGAAGGCGGCUCACUGGUCCAUUACUGACGCUGAGGUGCGAAAGCGUGGGGAGCAAACAGG
rnacentral:rRNA from 1 species